rnacentral:rRNA from 1 species
AGAGUUUGAUCCUGGCUCAGGAUGAACACNGACGGGAUGCUUACCAUGCAGUCGACGGAAUCUUCGGAUUUAGUGGCGGACGGGUGAGUAACGCGUGAGAAUCUAGCUCUAGGUCGGGGACAACCACUGGAAACGGUGGCUAAUACCGGAUGUGCCGAAAGGUGAAAGAUUAAUUGCCUAGAGAUGAGCUCGCGUCUGAUUAGCUAGUUGGUGUGGUAAGAGCGCACCAAGGCGACGAUCAGNAGCUGGUCNGAGAGGAUGAUCAGCCACACNGGGACUGAGACACGGCCCAGACUCCNACGGGAGGCAGCUGUGGGGAAUUUUCCGCAAUGGCGAAAGCCUGACGGAGCAANACGCGUGAGGGAGGAGGCUCUUGGGUUGUAAACCUCUUUUCUCAGGGAAUAAGAAAGUGAAGGUACCUGAGGAAUAAGCAUCGGCUAACUCCGUGCCAGCAGCCGCGGUAAUACGGAGGAUGCAAGCGUUAUCCGGAAUGAUUGGGCGUAAAGCGUCCGCAGGUGGCACUGUAAGUCUGCUGUUAAAGAGCAAGGCUCAACCUUGUAAAGGCAGUGGAAACUACAGAGCUAGAGUACGUCGGGGCAGAGGGAAUUCCUGGUGUAGCGGUGAAAUGCGUAGAGAUCAGGAAGAACACCGGUGGCGAAAGCGCUCUGCUAGGCCGUAACUGACACUGAGGACGAAAGCUAGGGGAGCGAAUGGGAUUAGAUACCCCAGUAGUCCUAGCCGUAAACGAUGGAUACUAGGCGUGGCUUGUAUCGACCCGAGCCGUGCCGGAGCCAACGCGUUAAGUAUCCCGCCUGGGGAGUACGCACGCAAGUGUGAAACUCAAAGGAAUUGACGGGGGCCCGCACAAGCGGUGGAGUAUGUGGUUUAAUUCGAUGCAACGCGAAGAACCUUACCAAGACUUGACAUGUCGCGAAUCUUCUUGAAAGGGAAGAGUGCCUUAGGGAGCGCGAACACAGGUGGUGCAUGGCUGUCGUCAGCUCGUGUCGUGAGAUGUUGGGUUAAGUCCCGCAACGAGCGCAACCCUCGUUUUUAGUUGCCAGCAUUAAGUUGGGCACUCUAGAGAGACUGCCGGUGACAAACCGGAGGAAGGUGGGGAUGACGUCAAGUCAGCAUGCCCCUUACGUCUUGGGCUACACACGUACUACAAUGCUACGGACAGAGGGCAGCAAGCUAGCGAUAGCAAGCAAAUCCCGUAAACCGUACCUCAGUUCAGAUCGCAGGCUGCAACUCGCCUGCGUAAAGGAGGAAUCCCUAGUAAUUGCAGGUCAGCAUACUGCAGUGAAUUCGUUCCCGGGCCUUGUAAACACCGCCCGUCAAACCAUGGAAGCUGGCAACGCCCGAAGUCAUUACUCCAACCAUUCCUGGG